rnacentral:rRNA from 1 species
GAUGAACGCUGGCGGCGUGCCUAAUACAUGCAAGUCGAGCGGCAGCACGGUCUUCGGACUGGUGGCGAGCGGCGGACGGCUGAGUAACGCGUAGGAACAUGCCCCAAAGUGAGGAAUAACUGCCCGAAAGGGUGGCUAAUGCCGCAUGUGGUCUUCGGACUAAAGCUUUAUGCGCUUUGGGAGUGGCCUGCGUCCGAUUAGCUUGUUGGUGAGGUAAUGGCUCACCAAGGCGACGAUCGGUAGCUGGUCUGAGAGGAUGAUCAGCCAGACUGGAACUGAGAACGGUCCAGACUCCUACGGGAGGCAGCAGUAGGGAAUUUUCCACAAUGGGCGAGAGCCUGAUGGAGCAACGCCGCGUGCAGGAUGAAUGCCUUCGGGUUGUAAACCGCUUUCAGGAGGGAAGAAGCGAAAGUGACGGUACCUCCAGAAGAAGGACCGGCCAACUACGUGCCAGCCGCCGCGGUAAAAC